GGAUACUUGAAACAGCAGAAAUCAACAACUCUGGAGAUGGAAGUCCAAGAUCAAGAUGUCAGCUGGGCCAUCAUCUCUGAAGCCACAGGGGACCCCAACUGCUCAGCCCAGCACUUCAUCUGGUUUAUGAUGUCAAAGACUUACACUGAUCCCUCUAAUCAUCAUCAGUUGAAAAUACCAUAAGUGGAAAAUGCAUUGAGUACAGCUUGCCGACUGAACGCGCAACUUAGCAAUAUGCCUACAGGUGGACAAAUCAUCUGAUGAGCUGCUGUUGACAAAGUUGUCAUCCUUCUUUAAAAAUGUGGACAGAACUGUAUCUGAGUCUACAAAGACAC